AGCGAACGCUGGCGGCAGGCUUAACACGUGCAAGUCGAGCGGGCCCUUCGGGGUCAGCGGCGGACGGGUGAGUAACGCGUGGGAGCGCGCCUUCUGGUCUGGAAUAACCCUGGGAAACUAGGGCUAAUACCGGAUACGCCCUUUUGGGGAAAGGUUUACUGCCGGAAGAUCGGCCCGCGUCUGAUUAGCUAGUUGGUGGGGUAACGGCCUACCAAGGCGACGAUCAGUAGCUGGUCUGAGAGGAUGAUCAGCCACACUGGGACUGAGACACGGCCCAGACUCCUACGGGAGGCAGCAGUGGGGAAUAUUGGACAAUGGGCGCAAGCCUGAUCCAGCCAUGCCGCGUGAGUGAUGAAGGCCUUAGGGUUGUAAAGCUCUUUUAUCCGGGACGAUAAUGACGGUACCGGAGGAAUAAGCCCCGGCUAACUUCGUG
rnacentral:rRNA from 1 species